rnacentral:rRNA from 1 species
CCUACGGGUGGCAGCAGUGAGGAAUAUUGCUCAAUGGGCGAGAGCCUGAACCAGCCAAGUCGCGUGAAGGAUGACGGCCCUACGGGUUGUAAACUUCUUUUGUCAAGGAGCAAUUGAGUCCACGUGUGGUCUUAGCGAGAGUAACUGAAGAAAAAGCAUCGGCUAACUCCGUGCCAGCCGCCGCGGUACUACGGAGGAUGCGAGCGUUAUCCGGCUUUAUGGGGUUUAAAGGGUGCGUAGGCGGAAUAUCAGGUCCACGGGAAAACUUCGGGCCUCAAACCCGUCGUGCCGUUGAAACUGAUGUUCUUGAGUGGGCGAGAAGUAUGUGGAAUGCGUGGUGUAGCGGUGAAAUGCAUAGAUAGCACGAAGAACACCGAUUGCGAAGGCAGCAUACCGGCGCCCAACUGACGCUGAAGCACGAAAGCGUGGGUAUCGAACAGGAUUAGAUACCCCUGUAGUC